AUUGAACGCUGGCGGCAUGCCUUACACAUGCAAGUCGAACGGCAGCACGGGGGCAACCCUGGUGGCGAGUGGCGAACGGGUGAGUAAUGCAUCGGAACGUGCCCAGUAGUGGGGGAUAACCAGUCGAAAGACUGGCUAAUACCGCAUACGACCUACGGGUGAAAGCGGGGGACCGUAAGGCCUCGCGCUAUCGGAGCGGCCGAUGUCUGAUUAGCUAGUUGGCGGGGUAAGAGCCCACCAAGGCGACGAUCAGUAGCUGGUCUGAGAGGACGACCAGCCACACUGGGACUGAGACACGGCCCAGACUCCUACGGGAGGCAGCAGUGGGGAAUUUUGGACAAUGGGCGCAAGCCUGAUCCAGCCAUGCCGCGUGCGGGAAGAAGGCCUUCGGGUUGUAAACCGCUUUUGGCAGGAACGAAACGGCGCAAGCCAAUACCUUGCGCUAAUGACGGUACCUGCAGAAUAAGCACCGGCUAACUUCGUGCCAGCAGCCGCGGUAACAC
rnacentral:rRNA from 1 species